CAGAAAUCACACCAUUUAUCAUAGAAAUCGACUUUUCUCCAACAUGUAUUGCCAAGAUAUAUCCAUCUUACUUUGAACUUGGAAUGUGGUGCAGCACAGAAAUCAAAAUAAGUAUUCAGCAAGGCUUUGGAAGGUCAGUCCUCCACAGUGAUCUGCAGCAGAUUGCCUUGCUGUUUGGCACCUCACAUGGGGCACCAUUGUCACAGCAACAGUGGGGUGCUGUAGUUUGGAUCUUAAAUGCCCCCCAAAGGACUGUUUGUCAGGAUGGUACUAACGGAAGAUGGUGGAAACCCUUAGAGACAUGAGGUGAAUGAGCCUCCUCCGCCACAUGCUUCUGCCAUGAUGUGCUGGCCACAGGGCCAAAACAAUGAGAUGAGAAAACCAAGUCACAGAGAGAUGCAGUUUCCUAUGUUCAAGCUCGCUG
rnacentral:lncRNA from 1 species